AAAUUUCAUUGAAAUUCGCCCGAGAACUGCCGGUCUAUGCAAGGCAUGGCUGUAAUGUCGUGAAAAGCUUGGCAUCCCUCGAAUACUUGUCAUACUUCUUCGCAUAACUUCCGGCCUCUACAAAGUUCACCUGAGUCGUCUUGGAACUUUCCAGGGAUGCAGUUCCAUUUUGAGCGAAAAGUUAUGAGAUCAUUUAUAUGGGAUAUUUUAAUGAAAUUUGAAUGUUCGGGAAAACGAACGUGACCCAAAUAUAAAGGUGUAGAGUCCCGUGAAACAGCGAAUGGCCGACCGCCGAAUGCAUAUCAGAGGUGUAGCAAUGGAGGUAUGGUAGUCGGGCCAGCGAUUUGUGUACAGGAAUUUCUCGUCGGAUUUACCUACUCUGUGCCAUUUCUAUGAGAGAUCUGGCCUUUUUUUGUUUAUAUGCUCAUUUUUCGUAAUGUUUCGGAAUCAGCUGAUAUGUAGAGGUGAUUUUGGUUUUUGUUGUGACAUUUUGGUAUUGUGUUUAUCGUGACCACUUGUUAUUAAAACGUGUUAUGACAACUUCGUGAACAGACAAAAUGAAGUCUGGUUUAUUCAAGGAUUAUAUCCAUUUUCUUACACAAUUUUACUAAAACAUGCAUUUAAUCAAUUUAUACAGUUAGGUCAAUAAAUUCAUAUUGGCCUAUG
rnacentral:sRNA from 1 species